rnacentral:rRNA from 1 species
GGACUACCAGGGUAUCUAAUCCUGUUUGAUCCCCACGCUUUCGCGCCUCAGCGUCAGUUGUCGUCCAGAUAGCCGCCUUCGCCACCGGUGUUCCUGCUAAUAUCUACGAAUUUCACCUCUACAUUAGCAAUUCCGCUAUCCCCUCCGACACUCAAGCUUUGCAGUUUCAAAGGCAGUUCCACAGUUAAGCUGUGGGAUUUCACCCCUGACUUACAAAGCCGCCUACGCGCGCUUUACGCCCAGUAAUUCCGAACAACGCUAGCACCCUUCGUAUUACCGCGGCUGCUGGCAC